rnacentral:rRNA from 1 species
GACGAACGCUGGCGGCGUGCUUAACACAUGCAAGUCGAACGGAAAGGCCCUGCUUGCAGGGUACUCGAGUGGCGAACGGGUGAGUAACACGUGGGUGAUCUGCCCUGCACUUCGGGAUAAGCCUGGGAAACUGGGUCUAAUACCGGAUAGGAGCCAUUUUUAGUGUGAUGGUUGGAAAGUUUUUUCGGUGUAGGAUGAGCUCGCGGCCUAUCAGCUUGUUGGUGGGGUAAUGGCCUACCAAGGCGGCGACGGGUAGCCGGCCUGAGAGGGUGGACGGCCACAUUGGGACUGAGAUACGGCCCAGACUCCUACGGGAGGCAGCAGUGGGGAAUAUUGCACAAUGGGCGCAAGCCUGAUGCAGCGACGCCGCGUGGGGGAUGACGGCCUUCGGGUUGUAAACUCCUUCCGCUAGGGACGAAGCUUUUUGUGACGGUACCUAGAUAAGAAGCACCGGCUAACUACGU